rnacentral:rRNA from 1 species
GACGAACGCUGGCGGCAGGCCUAACACAUGCAAGUCGAACGCUCCGCAAGGGGGAGUGGCGCACGGGUGAGUAACACGUGGGAACCUACCUUCUGGUACGGAACAACCAAGGGAAACUUUGGCUAAGACCGUAUACGACCUCCGGGUGAAAGAUUGAUCGCCGGAAGAGGUGCCCGCGUCCGAUUAGGUAGUUGGUGAGGUAACGGCUCACCAAGCCUUCGAUCGGUAGCUGGUCUGAGAGGAUGACCAGCCACACUGGGACUGAGACACGGCCCAGACUCCUACGGGAGGC